rnacentral:rRNA from 1 species
GAGUUUGAUCCUGGCUCAGGAUGAACGCUGGCGACGUGCCUAAUGCAUGCAAGUCGCACGCGCGCUCCUUCGGGAGCGUGAGUGGCGGACGGCUGAGGAACACGUGGGUAUCUACCUCCUUGUGGGGGACAACACGCCGAAAGGCGUGCUAAUCCCGCAUACGUUCCCCUUUACCGGGGAAGAAAGCAGCAAUGCGCUGGGAGCGGAGCCUGCGGCCCAUCAGGUAGUUGGCGGGGUAAUAGCCCACCAAGCCGGUGACGGGUCCCUGGUCUGAGAGGACGACCAGGCAGACUGGGACUGAGAACGGCCCAGACUCCUACGGGAGGCAGCAGCAAGGAAUUUUCCGCAAUGGGCGCAAGCCUGACGGAGCAACGUCGCGUGGAGGAAGACGGCUUUCGGGUUGUAAACUCCUUUUGGGUGGGACGAUAAUGACGGUACCACCCGAAUAAGCCCCGGCUAACUCUGUGCCAGCAGCCGCGGUAAUACAGAGGGGGCAAGCGUUGUCCGGACUUACUGGGCGUAAAGGGUGCGCAGGCGGUUUGGUGCGUCCGCGCUGAAAUCAUACGGCUUAACCGUGUGGCGCGUGUGGAUACGACCAAACUUGAGGCUCUGAGAGGGUGGCGGAACUCCUGGUGUAGUGGUGAAAUGCGUAGAGAUCAGGAAGAACACCCGUGGCGCAAGCGGCCACCUGGCAGAGACCUGACGCUGAGGCACGAAAGCGUGGGGAGUGAACCGGAUUAGAUACCCGGGUAAUCCACGCCGUAAACGAUGUCGACUCGGGGUGUGGUUGUCUUACGACGACUGCGUCCCCAAGCACACGCGGAAGUCGACCGCCUGGGGACUACGAGCGCAAGCUUAAAACUCAAAGGAAUUGACGGGGGCCCGCACAAGCAGCGGAGCGUGUGGUUUAAUUCGACGCAAUGCGCAGAACCUUACCCAGAUUUGACAUGCCCGUGCAAGCCUGUGAAAGCAGGUCGCCUUCGAGGGUCGGGCGCAGAUGCUGCAUGGCUGUCGUCAGCUCGUGUCGUGAGAUGUUGGGUUAAGUCCCGCAACGAGCGCAACCC